AAAAAUUCACUUAGGCCAUUAAAUUACUGAUUCCUUCUAAACCCACUUUCAAACACCUUUAAAUUUAAUUAAUUAUGGUUCUUAACAUAUUUCAAUAACACCAAAAUAAAACAAGAGAAAGAAUCGUAGAUGAACCUAAAAUUACAGCUUUGAUUAAUUUUGAUGUCGAUAAAUUCGAAUAGAAACGAAAGAAACAGUGACAAUGAAUCUGCAACUGGAAAGAAAAAUAAACUCGAACCAGCAACUGAAGCAAAUCAACUCUCGGCUACAUCUCAGAGGCAGUCCACAGUUGAAAACCAAAAUGAAAAACUAAUAAUUUUUUUUGGAGUUUUCUGUUUUGGAAGUCGAAAGACUAAGCUAAAAGGAGUCUAAGCUUUUCGGGAAUUUUGCUAGGGUCUUUUUGUUGAAGAAGAAGGGUGCUCGCCGGUUGGGGUGUAUGGUUGUGUUUUCCUGGUAAUUUUCAAGUGAUUAAGAAGGUGGAUCAAGAAGAAGAAGCUUCUCUUUUUUUUUUUCUAUGGAAAAAAGGCGGAUCUAUGAAGAAGAAGAAGGGGAGGGGAUCCUUUUGAAAAGCUGCGCUCCUCAGCUCUUUUUUCUUUUCAAUUCUCCUAGCAUUAUUUUCUUCUUCCUUCUUUCG
rnacentral:lncRNA from 1 species